rnacentral:rRNA from 1 species
AUUGAACGCUGGCGGCAGGCUUAACACAUGCAAGUCGAGCGGAGCGGCGGACGGGUGAGUAAUGCCUAGGAAUCUGCCUGGUAGUGGGGGAUAACGUCCGGAAACGGGCGCUAAUACCGCAUACUAUCAGAUGAGCCUAGGUGGGUUUGGCUAGUUGGUGGGGUAAAUGCCUACCAAGGCGACGAUCCGUAACUGGUCUGAGAGGAUGAUCAGCCACACUGGAACUGAGCCACGGUCCAGACUCCUGCGAGAGGCAGCAGUGGGGAAUGUUGGGCAAUGGGCGAAAGCCUGAUCCAGCCAUGCCGCGUGUGUGAAGAAGGUCUUCGGAGUGUAAAGCACUUUUGGUUGGGAGACGGUACCAACAGAAUAAGCACCGGCUAACGUCGUGCCAGCCGCCGCGGUAAUUC